rnacentral:rRNA from 1 species
AUUGAGCGCUGGCGGCAGGCCUAACACAUGCAAGUCGAGCGGAUGAAGGGAGCUUGCUCCUGGAUUCAGCGGCGGACGGGUGAGUAAUGCCUAGGAAUCUGCCUGGUAGUGGGGGAUAACGUCCGGAAACGGGCGCUAAUACCGCAUACGCCCUGAGGGAGAAAGUGGGGGAUCUUCGGACCUCACGCUAUCAGAUGAGCCUAGGUCGGAUUAGCUAGUUGGUGGGGUAAAGGCCUACCAAGGCGACGAUCCGUAACUGGUCUGAGAGGAUGAUCAGUCACACUGGAACUGAGACACGGUCCAGACUCCUACGGGAGGCAGCAGUGGGGAAUAUUGGACAAUGGGCGAAAGCCUGAUCCAGCCAUGCCGCGUGUGUGAAGAAGGUCUUCGGAUUGUAAAGCACUUUAAGUUGGGAGGAAGGGCAGUAAGUUAAUACCUUGCUGUUUUGACGUUACCAACAGAAUAAGCACCGGCUAACUUCGUG